GAGGGUGCGCAGGCCUUGUCUACAAGGCCUGGGAAAGGCUUCCUGGCCCACUGGGAAGGCAGUGAGGAAGGGUGCCUCUCUACCCAACUGCCGUGCUCCUUUGUUGGCUGGCUGGGUGGAGAAGCUCGGGGGAAAAGCUGGAGGACAGCAGGAGGGAAAGCUCCAUGGGGCCUUGGGCGGCCUCUCCCUACAAUCAUCUCUCAGAGGCACAGGGCAUGUGUGGCUGCCGAUGGAUUUCCCCAGGAGCUGCGUCCAGGAGGCUCCGAGAGCCCUUGGUGAUCUUGGGGAAUUCUGCUGGCAAAGGGCUUGAUGCAAAACAAAGGCCAGUCUGUCCUCUGCAUUCCCCAUGGAAACACCGACUCCAGCGCCCACACAGGCCUGCCCUGUCAGCUGCCAUAGGAAUCUGACUGGUGGCCUGCGGACGGCUAGAGCCUGAGAUCACAGGUGAAGGGUCGCUGUGAAGGGCCACGUGCGUGUCAAGGAGAGGACUGCUCUAGCUCUGAUCCUCUGGUACCAUUGCCCUGAAUAUGGGACCGCUCAGGCCUCUUGUCCAGAAGGUUCCCACAGAGCAGAGGUACUGCGGGGUUUCUCCCCUGGUCAGAGAUGGCUGCGGAAACUGCGAAGGCAUCUUGUGGGUCUCUGAGGCUCAAGACGCUGGGAGGAGGACAGCUCAGGCAACAGUAUGGUGGGUUUGGGAGUCAGGUUCCUAGUCCUGGCUCUGCCACUUCCUUGCUCUGUAAAUCUCUUGCUAAACCUCCAUUUCCUCAUCUUACAACAGUGAAAUCACAGCACCAAACUCCAGAACUGGGCUAGGACUCAGCAAGGUAAGUUAAUCUCCUGGAGGGCACGUAGCCCAGUGCCUGGCAAACAGGAGCUGGUGUUGUCCUCUCACCUCGAUGGUUGGCACACCUAGUGAGAAAGACCUUGUCUUGAAGGCAGUAGGGGAGUGGGCCAUGGUGACAACAGGCCCUGGAGGGCAUGUGCCAGUGUAGCUGAAUCUCAACUCAACACCACUGGUGGGACUUUCCCGCCCUCUGCCAGGGCAGGCACAGCUGAGGCUCUGUAGAGCUGGGUGGUGGGCGCACUGGAGUGUCUCCACAGGAUGUGGCACGGGCAGCUCCAAGGCCUCCUGAGGCUUGGCAACACUCCCCUGCCCUGCCACUACCACCCAAGUGGGAGGUGCACAGCUCCCUGGAGUACCAGACGCCCCAGUCUGGUCCUGACAGGAGGGGCAAGGGCAGAGCAGGACAGAGGGAGGGACGUGCGUCAGUAGGACUGGCCUGAGUGAGUCACACGUUAGCUAUGGCCUCUGGGCUGCCAGUGUUUUUCUCCUUUUCUAGGAACUUAGUUUGUUGCUGGCCUACCAAAAAGAAAGGAGGAAGCAGAAAGAGCCCACAGCACCUCACAUAACCCCAGAAUAGGAUUUCAAAUUUCGGCCCUUUUACAAUCCAAAGUGGAGUAAACUCUCAGUUGCUGCUGCCUUGCCAACACCUCCCCCCAUCUGCUCCUUGGGAGCUCUCUGCUCUGCUGAGAAGGCUUCCAGCUGGUCUGCCUGCUGUCCCAGUGGAGUCACGGCCUGGCAUGAUGGGAGGGAAGGGGCUGGAGCUCCUUCAGGUCAACCCUCAACUGAGCAAGGUGAGAGAGGGGCCCCAGAGCAGAGGGUGUGCCAGAGGACACACAGGAGCAGUGAGUCUCUCUGUACCACACCACCCUGCCCCUCAGGAGCACCCAUGACUCAAGUGAAAGGCAGCCAGAACCUCUGUCUGCCCCAAGACUCAAAAAGGGGGAUUUAGCAGAUUCAGGAAGUACAACUAGUACGUUGGGUCUUAGUGAGGCAGUGGCAUUUGGCACUGACGGGCAUGCGCACACACUCGCUGCAGAGCUGCUACAGCCACGCCGGUGUAUGCGGGGAGGUGCGACCCAGCAACUACACUAUUAGGACCAAGGGGGUCUGGAGAGAUGAGAGUUGGAAGGAAACCCCCCCAGCGACACAAAGGAGCCUCAUCUGUGAAAGGAGCCAGGAGUGCUGGUGUGGUUAGCAGGCAUGAGCCCCAUGGCAUGUUCCCGUGGCAAUCCCGGGAUGCUCAUUUACAGCCAUGAGUGGCUGCUGUGGAAGGCCUGGGAAGUCCAGCUGGAGGGGACAUGGGCUCUGCAGCCAGAUGGAUUUAGGUGCCCAAAAAAUAUGCCUCCUCUUUGGGAACAGUGAGCCUGCAAUCCACAGCAGGAUGGGACUGGCCCAAGGCCCCAGAGAGGGCCAGGGGAAGGGGCAGGACCUGGUCUCCCAACUCUAUGACAACUGGCUCUCCGCAGCCCAGGGCUGGUUUGGUUGGGGCUCCCCACUGCCUCCCCACCUCUCCCGGGCAGUGCAAUGGCUGGGGGACCGCUGGACCCUCUGCAAGGGUGUCCUCUUUGGCCGCUCAACAUGCAGCAGGCCUCAUCUCCAGAAGCAUGAGCCCACGGGUCUCGUUCUCCUGUCUUUCAGCCACAGGCCCUCCAGUCCUGGCUAGAUGAGCACUGGGGUGUGCUUGUGAUACACCAAACCCCAUAUUAGGUAGCCUCUCACCCACUUAUUUGCAUCUUAGGUCAAUCUUCCCAGGAAGGCAAGAUUACCUUCACUUUCACGGAUGAGGAAAUGGAAGCUCAGAAAAGUGCUUGGUACCUCAAUAUAUGAAUUCAAUCAAUUAAUAAGUAACCAAAUGAAUACACUAUCACAGUCCCCAAGAUAAUUAAGAGGCGGCCCUGGGAAGUGAGCCAGGUCUGACCCCCACAUCGGUGCUACUUCCGUCCUCCUAACUCACUCACUCAGCCAGUCCAGGGUUCAAGCAGCCCUGGAAUUUCCUGUCUCCCUCCCUCCACCCUCUGCAGAGUGUGGCAGGGCAAGGUUCUCAUCACUUCACUUUCUCAGCCUGGCAAAUCCCAACUCAUUCUUCACAAAUCCACUCAGGUGGCAGUCACUGUCCCCUCAGAUGCCCCUCGCCCUCUGCACGCUGCUCUUCCACACAUGGUACCAUCUUCUGGUCAGUCCCAUCAGAUGUGGGCUCCAGAGGGCAGUGACAGCUGCUGAGAGUUUCUGUGUGCAGCCCAGGCACCAGGCGGUGCCAGUAGAAGGAUGGGAAGGCUUAGCCACUGAGGUGCACAGCGUCCUCCUGACGGCCUCUCAGGCUGGAGCUGUGGGGUGUGGAGCCCCCAGCAGUAAUUCCCCAUCAGUCGAGAUGGGGCACGAGGCAAUGCCCCCUCCCUGGAGGCCAACCUCCAGGCAGUUUCUUUUCCUCUGGCCUCUGUGGCUUUGGCCCCGUUAAAGGACAGUGGGCCCUGGACCCCUCCUGGCCUGGGCUGGCCACGUCAUGGAAUGAACCACCCACAACACGUCUGCUGUGAGAUCCAGGCUGCCUCUGUGAGCCCUCCAACCAACUCAACACUGAGGAACUCAAGCUGACAGGGAGUUUUUAUUGCCUAAACAGCAAUGACGAUGACAGCGUUCCAGCUGCAGCUCGGUGCUUUACACACGUUCACUCAUCUUCCCAACCACCACUGGAGGGAGGUACUGUUACCGCUAUCCCCAUUUUAUAGACAGGGAAUCUGAGGCCUGGAGACCUGAAGUGACUUGCCCAAGAUCACACCACCUGAAUCCAGGAACUGUCAGCAUCAAAACCUGACUGCUCUCUCUGGCACUGUGCUGACUCUCAUAUAGUAGAUCUGUCUGGGUGGCUGAGGGCUUGGUGGACGCCCAGCUGAAGAAUGGGGCUGUUCCCAGGCCUGUCCAGGAGGCCUCCUGGUCAUUGUGAACCCAGGUCUUCAUUUCCAGAGACACAACUUACAAUGUUGCCCCAAGAAUGGUUCUUGUCAUGUACACGCUGUUAAUCAAUCUCCUUCCCAAGGGACCUGGAACCCCUGAGCACAGGAGCACAGGGAUAUUUGCUAGAUAAACUGAAAUGCCUCAGCAGGCGGAAAAAUGGGUGAUCCCAAAACAACUGUGGAGAUCUACAGAUGGCCCCAAAUGCCGGUUCCUUCUUGUUACCUUUCCUCCCACCUCAGCUUGGCCAACUCCUAACGACACAGCCAAAAACGGCUCAGGUCCAGGCAUGGUGGCUCAUGCCUGUAAUGCCAGCAUUUUGGGAGGCAGAGGCAGGUGGAUCGUCUGAGGUCAGGAGUUCAAGAUCAUUCUGGGAAACAUGGGGAAACCCAAUCUCUACUAAAAAUACAAAAAUCAGCUGCGCGCAGUGGCACAUGCCUGUAAUUCGAGAGGUUGAGGCAGGAGAAUUGCUUGAACCUGGGAGGAACAGGUUGCAGUGAGCCAAGAUUGCGCCAUUGCACUCCAGCCUGGGUGACAGAGUGAGACUCUGUUUCAAAAAGGAAAAAAGGGGGCCCAGGUGUCUUUAAGUGACUUCCUGCUUUCCUCUUUUCUUGGAAAAGUGGCUCUUCAAAGAAAGCCUGGCUGUUGUAAGAUACAAACUGUGCGCAUUGCUGCUAGGCUGUAACCAUCUCCACAAGAGCACAGCUAUUGUGGCCCAGCCUGACUUCCAGCCCAGCCCACACCACCUGCCCUGAAAGUCCUGACAUACCCAGCAUGGCAAGGACACCCGAGAGUCACAUGAGCUGCUCAUGUGGCUGUGGCCCCAGCAAGUGGUAGCCCCCGAAGCCAGCCAGAGGGGGGCGCGAAGGGUGGGGGAAGGGCAGGCCGCUCACCUGGAAGAGGCCAUGGUGGUGCACCACACCAUCCUGCGUGUGCAGGAGAGAGAGCAGCGAGUACUCAGUGUGCAGCAGCAUCUUGCCUUGCCGCUCCUCCUGGCUCUCUAUGCCUUGGUCCCCCCUCUCCUCCAGGGUCAGGAUCUUCAGGAAGGCACAAAAAUAAAACCAAAACCGGAAUACUUCACUUUACACAGGAGAAUGCCAGAAUGGGGGAAGCAGGGGGCUUUCUACCACAUGACAUUUGCACAUAACACACCCACAAACACACUAAGUGAAAUCAUUUUUCUUAAUAUGACAGCAAGGUAAUUUAUGCACAGACAAAACUCCUUAAAUCAGGAGCUGUUCCACGGGAGACCAUGUGAACUUGAUUGCUUCUCAGGAAGAAAUGGCACUACUCUUGUUCACAAGUGACGCAGGUGUGAAGGUGAAGGGGGAGGGGGUUGGCAUGACAGGCCCUGGUCCUGAGGCACCCUCACCCCCACAUCUCACUUACCUUCAACUGAUAGAAGUCAUCCGUGCCAUCUUUCCUUGCCAAACACUGCACAAUGCUUGGCACCGGUGAGUUGCCCAGACGAGGACCUAUGGCACAGAGAGCUGCUGGUCUAUUUUUCAGAAGCCCUGGCUGUCAUGGCGCCAGGUCACCACGUGGUCUUCCACUAAACCUUCUAUUGAGGAGGACACCAUAGCUCAUGUGCACUGGACUGACCUCCCAAGGUCAGCUGAGAGUUUUCAAGGUCUCCCCUCCAAAAAUAGAGAGAGGUAUGUGUGCUCUGCCUGGAACACAUCCAGCUUUUGCAGGCACAUUUCUCAAAGAGAAGUUUUCAACACUGGGUGGACACUGGAAUCUCUAGGAAGCAUCUACUAUAAACAAGAGAUAUAGCCGGGCAUGGUGGCUCACACCUGUAAUCCCAACUCUUUGGGAGGCUGAGGUGGAGGAUUGCUUCAGCCCAGGAGUUUGAGACCAGCCUAGGCAACACAGUGAGACUUCUUUUCUACAAAAAAUAAAAAAUUGGCUGGGCAUAAUGGAGCAUACCUGUUAGUCCCAGCUACUUGGGAGGCUAAGGUGGGAGGAUCACUUGAGCCCAGAAGGUUGAGGCUGCAGUGAACUGUGUUUGUGCCACUGCACUCCAGCCAGGGCAACAGAGCAAAACCCUGUCUCAAAAAACAAACAAAACCCAAGAGAUCCUGGGUCCUGUGAAGAGCAACUUUAGGGUGAGGAUCCAGGAAACUAUAGCUAUAGCAACAGGUUCCCUGGUGAUGCUGAUACAGCCAUCUGGCCUCUGUUCAAGUGCCAGCUUUGGGGACCUUAUGUACUUCUGGAGAUGCACAGUGCUCGUUGUUCUGUGACAGCACCUUGCACGAGCUUUCAGAGUGGAAAUAUGAUGUCAUAGUGCCACUGUUGUGUGAAAAACACUUUUUUUUUUGAGAUGGAGUUUUGCUCUUGUUGCCCAGGCUGUAGUGCAAUGGCGUGACCUGAGCUCACCAUAACCUCCACCUCCCGGGUUCAAGAGACUUUCCCACCUCAGCCUCCUGAGUAGCUGGGAUUACAGGUAUGCACCACCAUGCCCAGCUAAUUUUGUAUUUUUAGUAGAGAUGGAGUUUCUCCAUGUUGGCUAGGCUGGUCUUGAACUCCCAACCUCAGGUGAUCUGCCUGCCUCAGCCUCCCAAAGUGCUGGGAUUACAGGCAUGAGCCACCGUGCCUGGCCAAAAAACUCUUAAUGAAGCUUUGCUGCUCUUUUUUUCCUUCUUACCAGUGCAAUGUUCACAGACCCACUGCUCCUAACAUAGCACCCAAACUCCUUUCUCUGGCCUCCAAGGCCUUGCAUGAUUCACUUCCUGCCCACCUUUCUAACUGAGGAUGUUCCAUGCCCUGUCCCCUGCCAGACUCCAGUGGGCUCCUAAUUCCCAACAUGCUAAGCCCUUUCCUGCUGCUAGGCCUCUGCACGUGCUGCUGCUUCUGUCUGCAAUGCUCUUCCCCAGCUUUUUCUAAAGCUGCUGCUGCUCCUCCUCAGGUGUCAGCUCACAUGGCGCUUCCUCAUAGAGAGGCCUUUCUUGUCUGCCCUACCUACAGGCCUUCUCAUCUCAUGUCAUUGUGGAACCUCCUUCAAGGCUCCUGCACUGCUGGUGAUGAGAUGUUUACUCUGUUUCUUUUUCCAACUAGAAUGUUAAGCUCUGUGAGGGCAGGAACUUGUCUGCCUUAUUUACUGCUGCAUCCCCGGCAAACAGCACAGGCCUGGCACGUGGUACGCACCAUUAAUUAUGUAAUGAAUGAUGAGCUGGAACUAUCCUGUGCCUGUAAGUCCAAAAUUCUGUCCCAAAGUACAACUCACACCCAGUCUCUGGCUGCAACCCUGACUAUAAGCAAUUUGGAUUGCUGGUCCUUACACAUCAGGCAGAAAUGCUCUGCUGCUCCUCUGGCUAACUGCCACACCUGUGCCAGGAUUUAAAGACAUCUGGGAGGCUAUACAAACCGCUUUGUGAAAUUAUGCCAUCAGGAAUAGCAUAAAGCAGUGUCUUGGAUGAUGGUUCUUGGGUUUUAAAUUUUUAUUUUAUUUUAUUUUUUAGAGACAGAGUCUUGCUCUGUUGCCGAGGCUGGAAUGCAGUGGCGUGAUCAUGGCUCACUGUAACCUCAAACUCCUGGGCCCAAGUAAUCCUCCUGCCUCAGCCUCCCAAGUAGCUAUGACUACAGGCAUGUGUCACCAUAUCCAGUUAAUUUUUAUAUUUUUCUUGUAGAGACAGAAUCUCACUAUGUUGCCCAAGCUUGCCAAGUCUUGAACUCCUAGCCAUAAGUGAUCCUCUCACCUCAGCCUCCCAAAGUGCUGGGAUUACAUAAGUGAGCUGCCACACCUGGCCAGAUCUUGGAUUCUAAUGCAGCUAAUGGGUUCUAAUGGAUGUGCUUCCUGUGGACACAGCAACACUGUAGGUGCACACAUAGGAUUCUCUGGGGGGAAGAGACAGAGCCUAGCUAUUGGCUAAGACUGAUCUAAGGCUGGUGCGGCUACAACACUGACAGCCCCUGGUGCAGAGUGACCUAAGGCUUGGGUCUUCCACUGAUACAAUUAUACUCUGCUUCAAGCAGUGAAGCUAGGGACCAGGCCGGGGGCAGGGCAGGACCACACACUGCAGUGGGUGGGCCACCUCACUCUGAUGUCUGUAAGGGUCAGAUCGUGCGAGCCAAUGUGCCCUGCGCCUGCCUCGCAGCACACCCAUUUUUCCCAAAAGUCAGAGGCUUACCAAGGAUGAAUGGUCCAGCUCUCUUUGCAUUAUUUCCAGAAAUCCCACUUCCUAGAGCCUUGGCCCUGGCCGACGUUUCCCCAGCUCCUCUGUCUGAUGCUCUCCGCUUCAUUCUCAGCUCUAGACAAGACAGAAAAGACCCCUUCUCACUGAGUAAGUCG